GAAUGUUUAUAAUUUUGUAUGUGGAUAAUGAUAUAUUGGAUUGGAUUAAUAUUGAUGAUUUUGUGUGUGGAUCAUGUUUUGUUGGAUUAGAUGACUAUGUAUGAUUAUUUGAUUUGUUGGAAUUUAGGGUUUAUGAUUUGUUGAUUAAAUUUUGCGAUGGACUUCUUUUCCUUUCUCUGUAUGUUCAUUUGUCUUAGUUAAAUUUGUUUCUAAAAAAAAAAAAAGAUUUGUUGAUUAAUUGAUAUGACUGUUUGGUUUGAUUAAUUCAUGUGUAUGGCAGAAAAGGUUUGAAGCUGCAUUUGGAGACUCAUGUGUUUGGCUUGUGAGCUUGAUUUGCUUCCCUAGGCUUCCAUGAAAAUUUUGAUCUAGGAUGCAGUGAUUUGAGGUGUAACUUUGCGCUUACUGGAUCUCUCAACUCAAUCUUAGAUGAAGUCGGUUUUAGCAGAACAUGACUAUAUGUAAAGACCUAUCCAAACUCUUUUGAACAAUGAGCAGCUCAAUGUUGUCGAUAUUUUGAUGUUUUGACUGCUACUUGAUUUAUUAAAAUAUGGCCAAUAUUUUGACAUGACAAACAGCAUAAAAAAACAUGUUAUUAUCCUAUUUUUUGUUACUUAGACUUGCUAAACAAAGCAAGAUACCACUAUUUAGAUCUCCAUGUCAAUAUAAAUAGUACCAUUUUUCCUA